GUGGGGAAUCUUGCGCAAUGGGCGAAAGCCUGACGCAGCCAUGCCGCGUGAAUGAUGAAGGUCUUAGGAUUGUAAAAUUCUUUCACCGGGGACGAUAAUGACGGUACCCGGAGAAGAAGCUCCGGCUAACUUCGUGCCAGCAGCCGCGGUAAUACGAAGGGGGCUAGAGUUGCUCGGAAUUACUGGGCGUAAAGGGCGCGUAGGCGGACAGCUUAGUCAGAGGUGAAAGCCCAGGGCUCAACCUUGGAAUUGCCUUUGAUACUGGCUGUCUUGAGUGUGGGAGAGGUGAGUGGAACUCCGAGUGUAGAGGUGAAAUUCGUAGAUAUUCGGAAGAACACCAGUGGCGAAGGCGACUCACUGGCCCAAUACUGACGCUGAGGCGCGAAAGCGUGGGGAGCAAACAGGAUUAGAAACCCCGGUAGUCC
rnacentral:rRNA from 1 species